GUGCUCACUUUGGCAGCACAUACACUGAAAUUGGAACGAUGCAGAGAAGGUUAGCAUGGCCCCUGCACGAGGACAACACACAAAUUCGUGGAGCGUUCCAUAUUUUU